AUUGAACGCUGGCGGCAGGCCUAACACAUGCAAGUCGAGCGAAUGAGUGGAGCUUGCUCCAUGAUUCAGCGGCGGACGGGUGAGUAAUGCCUAGGAAUCUGCCUGGUAGUGGGGGACAACGUUUCGAAAGGAACGCUAAUACCGCAUACGUCCUACGGGAGAAAGUGGGGGAUCUUCGGACCUCACGCUAUCAGAUGAGCCUAGGUCGGAUUAGCUAGUUGGUGAGGUAAAGGCUCACCAAGGCGACGAUCCGUAACUGGUCUGAGAGGAUGAUCAGUCACACUGGAACUGAGACACGGUCCAGACUCCUACGGGAGGCAGCAGUGGGGAAUAUUGGAGAAUGGGCGAAAGCCUGAUCCAGCCAUGCCGCGUGUGUGAAGAAGGUCUUCGGAUUGUAAAGCACUUUAAGUUGGGAGGAAGGGCAGUAAGUUAAUACCUUGCCGUUUUGACGUUACCAACAGAAUAAGCACCGGCUAACUUCGUGCCAGCCGCCGCCGUAAGAC
rnacentral:rRNA from 1 species